rnacentral:lncRNA from 1 species
UCCGUGCCUGUGCCAUCCUUGCCUUGAUCACCUGUGCCUGCGCUGGUUACCUCGGUUAUCCCUAUGGAUACUCCUGGGGUGCCGCAGCUGUACCAGUAUAUACAGCUUCACUAAGCACCUACGGCUACAAUUAUGGAUACGGUUUUCCAACCUAUGGGUAUGGAUACAGCCCAUAUGUUCUCAAUUACGGAUACGGCCUCGGUGGUCUAGGAUACCCCACAAUCAUCGGCAAAAAGUAGAUCUCACUGCUUCACACCCGGACAGCAUCACCGAUCAAUUUUCACGGAACUAAAAAAAAAAAGAAACAACGCCGACUUCACCGUCCUGACCAAUUCAAAACACAGUAUACAAUAAAUACUGAAAACAUCAUCAUCA